AUGGCCGACGCUGGUUAAAGCGUAGUAUCUGUUCUUAUCAGCUUAAUAUCUGAUUCGGGUUGUACUUGGACCUAAGAUGUCAAACUUAUUUUUGCAAGUUUGGCGGAGUGCUUAAAGCCUAUAGCUGCUUCACCUCCGCCGUGGUAGGCCCGGUAUCGCACUAUCUUCGGGAUCGGCCCGUGUAU